CGCCUGUACGCUUUGUCAUAUUGACACAAAAAUUGACACACAUAUGUAUCUCAAUAAGAUCUACAAAAAAGUCAGUGCGGGCGUAUCUGUCAAAUGUACGGUUUAUGGGUUAUUUUGCAUUUUUUGCAGAUCUGCACACAUUGGAAUUUCGCUAACUCCUCCGAAGGCUUUCGUUCCACCGGCACCACAUUUGCUCAGGCCAAUCUACACCCCGUGGCCAUUAAAAGUUAUUCAAAUCAUGACGCUGCACCCCACGGUUUAGGUUCUAGGGGGCGCCAAAGAUAACACUAAAAUCCACAUAUUUAAAAGUCUUAUAACUUUUUAUUUUUGUCCUCACUGGCCUCCAAGUUUUCUAGGAUGAUGCAAUGUCCAGCCAUCAACACAUUUGUGAAGGAAUUUUUACUCCCCAAAAGAGCGCCCCCCCAUGGCAGGAGAAAAAACUCCAUUUUUUCUUGUCCCCUAAGGUGAAAAUACACAUUGUUGACUGUCACGCCUUGUACGCUUUGUCAAAAUGACACAAAAAUUGACACACACAUGUAACUCAAUAAGAUCUACGAAAAAGUCAAUGCGCGCGUAUCUGUCAAAUGUACGGUUAAAGGGUUAUUCCGCAUUUUUUGCCGAUCCGCACACAUUGGAAUUUCGCUAACUCCUCCGAAGGCUUUCUGUCCACCGGCACCACAUUUGCUUAGGCCAAUCUACACCCCAUGGCCAUUAAAAGUUAUUCAAAUCAUGAUGCUGCACCCCACGGUUUAGGUUCUAGGGGGCGCCAAAGACAACCCUAAAAUCCACAUUCUUAAAUGUUUUAUAACUUUUUAUUUUUGUCCUCACUGGCCUCCAAGUUUUCUAGGAUGAUGCAAUGUCCAGCCAUCAACACAUUUGUGAAGGAAUUUUUACUCCCCAAAAGAGCGCCCCCCCAUGGUAGGAGAAAAAAGUCAAUUUUUUCUUGUCCCCUUACAUAAAAAUACACAUUGUUGAGUGUCACGCCUGUACGCUUUGUCAUAUUGACACAAAAAUUGACAAUCACGUGUAUCUCAAUAAGAUCUACGAAAAAGUCAAAGAGCGCGUAUCUGUAUAAUGUACGGUUAAAGGGCUAUUUUGCAUUUUUUGCCGAUUCGCACACAUUGGAAUGUGGCUAUCUCCUCCUAAGGCUUUCGUCCCACCGAUACCAAAUUUGCUCAGGGCAAUCUACACCCCAUGGCCAUUAAAAGUUAUUCAAAUCAUGACGCUGCACCCCACGGUUUAGGCUCUAGGGGGCGCCAAAGAUAACCCUAAAAUCCACAUAUUUAAAAGUCUUAUAACUUUUUAUUUUUGUCCUCACUGGCCUCCAAGUUUUCUAGGAUGAUGCAAUGUCCAGCCAUCAACACAUUUGUGAAGGAAUUUUUACUCCCUAAAAGAGCGCCCCCCCAUGGCAGGAGAAAAAAGUCCAUUUUUUCUUGUCCCCUAAGGUGAAAAUACACAUUGUUGACUGUCACGCCUGUACGCUUUGGCAAAAUGACACAAAAAUUGACAAUCAUGUGUAUCUCAAUUAGAUCUACGAAAAAGUCAAAGAGCGCGUAUCUGUAUAAUGUACGGUAAAAGGGCUAUUUUGCAUUUUUUGCCGAUUCGCACACAUUGGAAUUUCGCUAACUCCUCCUAAGGCUUUCGUCCCACUGACACCAAAUUUGCUCAGGCCAAUCUACACUCCAUGGCCAUUCAAAGUUGUAAAAAUCAUGACGCUGCACCCCACGGUUUACGUUUUAGGGGGCGCCAAAGAUGACCCAAAUAUACAUUACAGUAGACAAAGUAGUUUUGCCCACUGAGUGGCGCCAAAGGGACUUGUCUGUGGAGUCUGUGAGUCACUAUUGGCCGUUUUUGACUACUUUAGAUUUUACCUUUAUAUUUCCUCUUACAAAAUUUUUACCUUGCCUUGCCUGGUAUCAUUUUUUUCAGCACAACCUCACCUGUGUCAAUUUACAGUUAUUUUAUCAUUUUGACAUACUAUAUUUACACAUUGGACCCAAAUUCACACACAAAACAUAAAAUCCGAGUGGAAAAAAGUAACGUUUUUACUGUGAAAACCACAAAUAUGUGUGAUGAACUGUUUUUAAAACUUAAACUUCAAAUAAAAAUUGUAAACUUCAAAACAUAUGCAAAUUUUUAACAAAGAACAUAGUAAUUUACCUCUAUUGACAUCAAAAUGCAGGCAAUGGCCCAGGUGUUCUUUGUAAAAUUAUUUACAAAACACUGUAUAGUCUCACAAAUGUCACUUUUUAUUUAUGCCACUACAAAAAAACAUGAUGUAAAUGAUGCAUGAUGUAAAACAUGAUGUAAAAAACUUGUGUAGAUCCUCCUCUAUGUUAGUCCAUGUGUAAUUUUUCCAUAAUUCUUUGUUUUUUGCAGCAUUUUUGUUAGUGUAACUGCAGAUUGUGCUGACAGUGUCUAUGGCAAAAAAAAAAAAAAAAAAACUGAAAAUGCCUCAACAUGAACCCCUGGUGGUCUCUGAGGGUGAAACCUGCUAACUGCUGCAGCUCUGUCAGCUUCAGUCUCCCAUGCAGAGCUCGGAGCGCAUGUGUGGCUCUGCACCCUUAGCAGCGUUGCUAACUCCUCAGUAAGGAAAGCCUGCUUCAUGUCAGAGUCUCUAAACUCCAGAAGAAGUCGAUAAAAGUCCCUUUCUUUCUAAAAAAAAGUCGUUAGGGGGUCUGAAAAGUAAUUGAAUCUAACAACAAAGUCGCUAGGUUUGCAACUACGUGUCCCAGACUGCAUCCCUGCUGAGAGUCCCUCCCUCCCUUCUCAUAUUGCAGGAAGAACGUAAGUUCCCGCCCCUUGUCAAUCAGUCACCAUAUAAUUUUGGAUUGGUUGUUAUGGUGAAGUUUUCCACCAAUAGGAGAGAUGUUGUGGUGUGUAUUUUUUUUCCUUUGGCAAGCCUUUUCCGCCUGUAAGACCUGUCGCUAAUGUCUGCAUGCUAUGUUUUCCUGUCUCAUACAGCGCGAUCGAGCGCCGAACGUGAUCAAAAUAAGCAGAAAACAAGUAUCGCGGACAUAAUUUAUCAUAACUCUGGUUUUAUUUGGCCUAUCAACACAAUUUAAAAACUGGUAUAUAGGUUGAGGUCCUCACUUUUGAGAUAAAUUGAAACGGAGAGUCAACGAGGCUCCGUCUUGCAGCUACAUCCGGUUAAAUAUGUCAUGUGACUUUAACGCACACACUCACACACACACACAGACACGCACACACACACACUCAGAGUCUGGUUUGUAGCACCUGCAAAAACAUGCUAUUUACAUAUUUGACAAGAAUGCAGAGGCUCCUUUUGCCCCUGAAAAAAAUCAAAUUUCAAACACAACUUGACUGGUCAUUUCUCCAAAAGACAACCAUGAAGCUCCAUCCAAACCUGAAGCAGGCAGUUGGUGCAUGUGUACAGUAACCUGAGGGGAGUGAGGUGACUGCUUCUGAGGAGAACAUGAGCAGUGAAGAUUUACCUUAGAGCUAGAACAGAGACGUGCACAUGAUUAUACAGGGGCAGGGGCUCAAGUUUUUUCCAGUCGUUUAUACAAUUUGGAAAUUAAUGUGAAAUUAAAAAACAAAGUAUUAAUAGAAAGGUAAUGACUGUCCUGUGUAGGUGACAGUGAUAUCCAAUAGGCUAGGCACUCACGAGGCUGGCUGUGGCAAGUGUAAGUGAAAGCAACACGCACUGGCAGGAAGAACAGCAAACGCCGAUGAAGGAAAAGGGUCUUUGCAGUGAUGGGCGUUACCAAAGAGGGCGAUGGCCAGAGGACACAAAUGGGACGGGGAGGCAGCGCGUUGGGGGGGGGACGCGACACAGCUCGGGCCCGCCAGUGCCCCAACGGGGUCCUAGUUAUUUUUCCUCCCCUUUGAACUGGAAAAUGGCCCACUUCCCACUGGCGAAAACUCAUGAAAUUUGGCAGGACGACCGGGCCUGGUGAAAAAUUUGAUAUUCCGAAGUCGCCCAAACAAGAAAAUGCAAAAUGGCUCCAUAGCGCCCCCUAAGGUGAAAAUUCACACUAUUCACUGUCACGCCGGUACGCUUUGUCAAAAUGACACAAAAAUUGACACACACAUGUAUCUCAAUAAGAUCUACAAAAAAGUCAGUGCGGGCGUAUCUGUCAAAUGUACGGUUAAAGGGUUAUUUCGCAUUUUUUGCCGAUCCGCACACAUUGGAAUUUCGCUAACUCCUCCGAAGGCUUUCGUUCCACCGGCACCACAUUUGCUCAGGCCAAUCUACACCCCAUGGCCAUUAAAAGUUAUUCAAAUCAUGACGCUGCACCCCAUGGUUUAGGUUCUAGGGGGCGCCAAAGAUAACCCUAAGAUCCACAUAUUUAAAAGUCUUAUAACUUUUUAUUUUUGCCCUCACUGGCCUCCAAGUUUUCUAGGAUGAUGCAAUGUCCAGCCAUCAACACAUUUGUGAAG
rnacentral:lncRNA from 1 species